ACUUUAUAAUUUGGUUCACAUAAUUUAUGUGUACUAGU
rnacentral:misc_RNA from 1 species